GAAAGAUAAAAAACAAACAACUACAAUAACAAAACAAUGAACCUAACACACUGCCCUAUUCAGGCAUUUUGUGUAAAAAAACAACUUGUGGAAUGUAAGGGUGCUGGACGUUUCGUGCCACUACCAGUUCGUGCCACUGAUAUUUGUGUAGGAGGGCAUUGGACGUUUCGUCCCACUGAUAAUAUAUAGGCGGAAGUCCUCAUCGUGGAUGUCAUCCUGGGUUGUGCUCGGUCCCAGCCCGAUGAUAUGGCUGCACGCUCUCAGCAGUUGAGUAGUUGUCAUGUCAUCGUCUUCGUACUUCUCCCAGAUCUCGAAGAGUCGCCCGUGCACUUCUUUGAAGAUUUUCCGGUGUACCCGAGUCAGGGCGUGCUCCGACACAAGUCGGAUUGUCAGAUCCACUGUUUCUGCCUCACGGCGCAACAGGGGGACUAGCACGUAAAACCCUAAGUCGGGACGCCCUGCUCGACCGUUGAUUCUGCGAUGCCAUCCUGGAAAAAAUAAAUAUGUUGUGAACUAUGAUGUUUAUUGGUUUUAUAUAAAAAUAUUUAAAUUAUAACUAUCCAAUGAAAAUAUGA